AAAUUGAAGAGUUUGAUCAUGGCUCAGAUUGAACGCUGGCGGCAGGCCUAACACAUGCAAGUCGAACGGUAACAGGAAGCAGCUUGCUGCUUCGCUGACGAGUGGCGGACGGGUGAGUAAUGUCUGGGAAACUGCCUGAUGGAGGGGGAUAACUACUGGAAACGGUGGCUAAUACCGCAUAACGUCGCAAGACCAAAGAGGGGGACCUUUGGGCCUCUUGCCAUCAGAUGUGCCCAGAUGGGAUUAGCUUGUUGGUGAGGUAACGGCUCACCAAGGCGACGAUCCCUAGCUGGUCUGAGAGGAUGACCAGCCACACUGGAACUGAGACACGGUCCAGACUCCUACGGGAGGCAGCAGUGGGGAAUAUUGCACAAUGGGCGCAAGCCUGAUGCAGCCAUGCCGCGUGUAUGAAGAAGGCCUUCGGGUUGUAAAGUACUUUCAGCGGGGAGGAAGGUGUUGUGGUUAAUAACCGCAGCAAUUGACGUUACCCGCAGAAGAAGCACCGGCUAACUCCGUGCCAGCAGCCGCGGUAAUACGGAGGGUGCAAGCGUUAAUCGGAAUUACUGGGCGUAAAGCGCACGCAGGCGGUCUGUCAAGUCGGAUGUGAAAUCCCCGGGCUCAACCUGGGAACUGCAUUCGAAACUGGCAGGCUUGAGUCUUGUAGAGGGGGGUAGAAUUCCAGGUGUAGCGGUGAAAUGCGUAGAGAUCUGGAGGAAUACCGGUGGCGAAGGCGGCCCCCUGGACAAAGACUGACGCUCAGGUGCGAAAGCGUGGGGAGCAAACAGGAUUAGAUACCCUGGUAGUCCACGCCGUAAACGAUGUCUACUUGGAGGUUGUGCCCUUGAGGCGUGGCUUCCGGAGCUAACGCGUUAAGUAGACCGCCUGGGGAGUACGGCCGCAAGGUUAAAACUCAAAUGAAUUGACGGGGGCCCGCACAAGCGGUGGAGCAUGUGGUUUAAUUCGAUGCAACGCGAAGAACCUUACCUGGUCUUGACAUCCACAGAAGAAUCCAGAGAUGGAUUUGUGCCUUCGGGAACUGUGAGACAGGUGCUGCAUGGCUGUCGUCAGCUCGUGUUGUGAAAUGUUGGGUUAAGUCCCGCAACGAGCGCAACCCUUAUCCUUUGUUGCCAGCGGUUAGGCCGGGAACUCAAAGGAGACUGCCAGUGAUAAACUGGAGGAAGGUGGGGAUGACGUCAAGUCAUCAUGGCCCUUACGACCAGGGCUACACACGUGCUACAAUGGCGCAUACAAAGAGAAGCGACCUCGCGAGAGCAAGCGGACCUCAUAAAGUGCGUCGUAGUCCGGAUUGGAGUCUGCAACUCGACUCCAUGAAGUCGGAAUCGCUAGUAAUCGUGGAUCAGAAUGCCACGGUGAAUACGUUCCCGGGCCUUGUACACACCGCCCGUCACACCAUGGGAGUGGGUUGCAAAAGAAGUAGGUAGCUUAACCUUCGGGAGGGCGCUUACCACUUUGUGAUUCAUGACUGGGGUGAAGUCGUAACAAGGUAACCGUAGGGGAACCUGCGGUUGGAUCACCUCCUUA
rnacentral:rRNA from 16 species